rnacentral:rRNA from 1 species
GACGAACGCUGGCGGCGUGCCUAAUACAUGCAAGUAGAACGCACAGUUUAUACCGUAGCUUGCUACACCAUAGACUGUGAGUUGCGAACGGGUGAGUCACGCGUAGGUAACCUGCCUGGUAGCGGGGGAUAACUCUUGGAAACGAUAGCUACUAACGCAUAAUAUUAUUUAUUGAAUGAUAAUUAAUUGAAAGUUGCAAUUCCACCACUACCCUAUGUGCCUGCGUUGUAUUAUCUAGUAGGUGAGGUAACGGCUCAGCUAGGGGAGGAUACAUACCAGACCUGAGAGGGUGAUCGGCCACACUGGGACUGGGACACGGCCCAGACUCCUACGAGAGGCAGCAGUAGGGAAUCUUCGGCAAUGGACGAAAGUCGGACCGAGCAACGCCGCGUGAGUGAAGAAGGUUUUCGGAUCGUAAAGCUCUGUUGUAAGAUAAGAACGGGAGUGAGAGUGGAAAGUGCACACUGUGACGGUAUCUUACCAGAAAGGGACGGCUAACUACGUG